AGUACCCAUUGCUAAGUUUCUGUGAUUUUUUAAAGAUAAUAAUACUAAUGAUUGAUUUGAUUGGAAGCUACAGAUUUUGAAAUGAGGUAUUUCUUCCAUCAGUUUGUGUUUUCAUUGUUUACCGACUUCCUUGCCUUCGUCUUUUUCAUCGCUAUGAUCUUCCUCUUAUCUUCCAAGGUGCUCACUUUCCGACUCACUUGGGUUAUAUCAGGAAGGGGAUUGAAUCUCACAGAUUAGCUCAGCUGCACCCAGAAAACUAUCUGAGAAGAUAAUCUGCAGAGCAGGGGACUUGCAAUCUACUGAGAAAAGGUUGGGAGCUGCUUUUGGAGCCUCAUUUAUUUGGCCUGCGAGCUUGAUUUACUUCUCCAGGUCAAGAUCUCCAUCAAAGAGAAGAAAAGUCAUGAAGAAAUUGCAAAACAAAACCUGCCCAAUUAAACAGCAUGCUACUCAAAACUAUCCAAAUUUUGCUAUUUUGAUAACUGCUUCCCGCUAUUAACAUCUCAAUGUAUAUACAAACAUGCCUACUAUUUUAACAUAACAAGCAGCCUGUAAAAUAUGUUAUUACUUUCUUUUUUAGCAACUUAUACUUCCUUAGUUAAGCAUAAUGCUACAAAUUAAAUCUCAUUGUAUAUAUAAACAAUCUUAUUUUGUCUACGUAAUUUCAAAACCCGCAGCAUCGUGCGGGCUUUUUUUCUA